UUUUUGUAUGAAAAAUUUUCAUUCCAAAAUUAGAACGAUACAGAAAAGAUUAACAUGGCCCCUAUGCGAGGAUGACUCGCACAAAUUGAGAUUUUUUUUCACUAUGU